rnacentral:lncRNA from 1 species
GGGCAAUAGCUCAAGUCAAGGAACUCAGGUCUCAUAAAGUAUCCAAAUUAUUUGAGAAGACGUUACAUAAUGAGUUGGUAACUCAUGACAUCGACUGUCUCAAAGUUGCAAAGAAAGCUGAUAUAUAUCGGCACAGUCACUAGAGCCUAGUAUAUAUAGGCUAUUACCUAGUAAGCGUCUCAAGUGCAAACACAUUGUGUGGCUGAUUGGCUUUACAUGCAAGUAG